rnacentral:rRNA from 1 species
GCUAAACGCGAAGAACCUUACCUAGGCUUGACAUGCACGGGAAAGUCCUCGGAAACGGGGAUUCUCCUUCGGGAUCCGUGCACAGGUGCUGCAUGGCUGUCGUCAGCUCGUGUCGUGAGAUGUUGGGUUAAGUCCCGCAACGAGCGCAACCCUUGUCCCUAGUUGCCAGCACGUAAUGGUGGGAACUCUAGGGAGACUGCCGGUGACAAACCGGAGGAAGGUGGGGAUGACGUCAAGUCCUCAUGGCCCUUACGGCCAGGGCUACACACGUACUACAAUGGUCGGUACAGAGGGUUGCGAAGCCGCGAGGUGGAGCCAAUCCCAGAAAGCCGAUCCCAGUCCGGAUCGGAGUCUGCAACUCGACUCCGUGAAGUCGGAAUCGCUAGUAAUCGCGAAUCAGCUAUGUCGCGGUGAAUACGUUCCCGGGUCUUGUACACACCG